AUUGAACGCUGGCGGCAGGCUUAACACAUGCAAGUCGAGCGGAGAUGAGGUGCUUGCACCUUAUCUUAGCGGCGGACGGGUGAGUAAUGCUUAGGAAUCUGCCUAUUAGUGGGGGACAACAUUCCGAAAGGAAUGCUAAUACCGCAUAAGUCCUACGGGAGAAAGCAGGGGAUCUUCGGACCUUGCGCUAAUAGAUGAGCCUAAGUCGGAUUAGCAAGUUGGUGGGGUAAAGGCCUACCAAGGCGACGAUCUGUAGCGGGUCAGAGAGGAUGAUCCGCCACACUGGGACUGAGACACGGCCCAGACUCCUACGGGAGGCAGCAGUGGGGAAUAUUGGACAAUGGGCGGAAGCCUGAUCCAGCCAUGCCGCGUGUGUGAAGAAGGCCUUUUGGUUGUAAAGCACUUUAAGCGAGGAGGAGGCUACCUAGAUUAAUACUCUGGGAUAGUGGACGUUACUCGCAGAAUAAGCACCGGCUAACUCUGUGCCAGCAGCCGCCGUAAGAC
rnacentral:rRNA from 1 species